AACGAACGCUGGCGGCAUGCCUAACACAUGCAAGUCGAACGAGACCUUCGGGUCUAGUGGCGCACGGGUGCGUAACGCGUGGGAACCUGCCCUUAGGUUCGGAAUAACUCCCCGAAAGGGGUGCUAAUACCGGAUAAUGUCUUCGGACCAAAGAUUUAUCGCCUUUAGAUGGGCCCGCGUUGGAUUAGCUAGUUGGUAGGGUAAAAGCCUACCAAGGCGACGAUCCAUAGCUGGUCUGAGAGGAUGAUCGGCCACACUGGGACUGAGACACGGCACAGACGGCUGAGGGACGCAGCAGGGGGGGAUAGGGGAGAAUGGGAGGAAGGAUGGUGGAGAAACGCAGCGAGCGGGAUGAAGGACUUCGGGUGGGAAAGCAAUGGCGCCGGUGAAGAAGGGUGAGGGAAGGGAAUGGGUAAAGAAGAACCGGCUAACUACGUG
rnacentral:rRNA from 1 species